AGACGUGUACGCUCGAAGACGUCAGAAAGUCGGAAUGGUAUUGCAAAGCGAAUAAGGGAUGAAUCGAGUAAGCGAAGCGAUGUGGCGAAUAGAGUAUAGCUAGAGAUGGUCUAGAGAUUAUGAGAUGCAUAGAUUGUGAAAGUGGAAAGAUGAGAAUGAGCUGUGAGACGGGAGUCAGAUUUAAGGCAAGUAUCUUAAACCCUUCUCUUGGAUAUAUUGCAAAUAUUCUGAUCCAUUCCUUUGGUAUAUGUUUCAAGUAUUCAUACCUUUCUUUUCAAUGUUCGAAAGUGCGAGUAUUCUGACCCAUUCUUUCUAAUCUUCAAGUUUCUAAAGAAUUUCCGUUUUACAAAUUAAUUCGAAGUUCAGAUUGUCAUUGAAGCAUGUGUUGCUCAGUGAUAGUUAGAGCUUUGAAUGAAUUGGGAUCUUCUUGAUUAUUCAAUCCGCCAUUGUCAUGCUGGUUAGCAGGCUAAAUUCAGUUGCUUAGCCGAUAAUGGAGGAUACUGAAUAGUUGAGGAUUUCCUGAACUGUGAUUUAUGAAAUGAUGGAUCAUGAUUUAUUAUUAUCAAAGUUGAUUUGGAAUUAUUCAGUUGUUGAUAAUAUUUAUGAUGAUGUUCUGUUGAUUUACAUUGGCUUCUUGAAUUGAAUUAGAGAAUUGGAUUAUUGUUUUUAUAUAAACCUGUGGACCAGAUUCGUGGUCAUGUUAGGCCAAUGAGUGCCUUGGAUCCAGUCAUAGAGCAUGGCGGGGCCUGCUCGGGGUUAGGUAUGACUGAUCAGCAUCCUAACCUUGGUUUUUAAUUAAAAUGUGAUAGUCCAAUUCAAUAAUUCUCUUGUGAAAGAUUGAAUUCCUCAGUAUUCAAUUGCUGUAAGGUAUUGUGAUUUUCUUAUACAAUACCUAAACUCGUGAACUCAGGUUGAAUCCUUUUAUAUCUUGAACUCGUGAAUUUCUAUUAUAUUAUUUCAGAAUUUUCAUUGCUUAUUACUACUUGCUGAGCAUUGUCGCUCACCCUUGCUAUUCCUUUCUAACCAUUUCAGAAAGGCUUAAAGAUGAGAUGAUUGAUUGAGAUUGUGAGUAAGGCUAAUGCUAGGCGAGGAGACAGAGUUGAGGAUCCAGUGGUCG
rnacentral:lncRNA from 1 species